rnacentral:lncRNA from 1 species
CCGGCCCUGUCACGGUUUCCCCACACCUGAUUGGCCGAGCUGCUGUUUCCAUGGAGGUCGGUCUCUGUUGGUACUGGUUCUCCUGAGAGAUUUGUAACACCAUACUUCAUGACCCAGGGUGAAGGAACUUCCUAUACUGUCCCCACUUCCAAGAAUGAAGACAGCCUUCUGGCCUAAAAACAUGAGCUGAAGCAAGCAGGGCGGUGGCAUGGUCUGUGGAGUGUUUGUGGAUCAGCAGAAUGGAGUCAGAAUUUCAACAUGGAGUCUCCUGGGCCCACAACCUUCUGCUU